GACGAACCGUGCGAACGUUAUUCGGAAUCACUGGGCUUAAAGCGUGUGUAGGCGGGCGGGCAAGUACCUUGUGAAAUCCCACGGCUCAACCGUGGAACGGCUGGGUAUACUGCCUGUCUUGAGCCAGCUAGGGGCGAGCGGAACAGACGGUGGAGCGGUGAAAUGCGUAGAUAUCGUCUGGAGCGCCGAAGGUGAAAACAGCUCGCUGGGGCUGUGCUGACGCUGAGACACGAAAGCCAGGGGAGCGAACGGG
rnacentral:rRNA from 1 species